GCCCUUCACAUUCCGGGAAAACGCCCUAUAUGGGCAGCUGUCGGUUUCGGCCGACUAUGACGAUAAAGUGUACCGUGCAAUAGGCACAGCGGACCCGGGGGCGGUACCCGGCGGCUCCACCAUCACCCGUCCCGCAGCUUCCUUGGAAGGGCGGGACAACCCUGUUGUCGCAGGGGUGUUGACGGGGCCGAACUAGGAUCGACGUGUGUUGAAAAGCGGUGUUUUCGUCCGGGCUGAGUAACCCGUUAAAGGCUCAAAACUCAUAAGUGCCAACGACAACGAAGCACUCGCUCUCGCCGCGUAAUUCUAGGGGCUAACGCCCUGAAGUUACAAAGCUAAAGCGCGGUUGGACCCACCGGGCAACAGAAGCGGAUUCCAGGGGCCCGGGGUGAGCCUGGCAACAGAAUCACCCCACC
rfam:Novosphingobium sp. MBES04 DNA, scaffold: MBES4S02.